rnacentral:lncRNA from 1 species
GAAUCCUAUUCAUCUUCUUCACCAAUAUGGUUUGUAGACUCUGAUGAGCUAAAUCUGACAUCAGUUUUGGAAUGUCUGGAAGAUGAUAAGAACAACAAUUUGCUUCAUCAGCAAUUGAAGUGGUUGAUAUGUGGACUCUGCAGAUUAUAUAACCUUCCUAAGCACCUGGAUGUUGCCAUGCCAGAUCAACCACUACCCAUGGGUCAG